rnacentral:lncRNA from 1 species
GCAUACCUUGGAAUGAGUAUUUAAAUCCAAAUUUUUUAGGACAAAGAGCUCACAUUCUUAACCGGAACACCCUCUACCCCAGAUCUUCUAAAUACUGUCACAAGUCAAAAGUGCAAGCUGAUGCAUGGGUUGAGUAAAAUACCUCUAACUGAAUCUACUGUUUAGUUCUCAUUGCUGUUAGUAAGAUCUUUCUAGAACCAUGGACUUACUUUAGAAUGUUGUUCUGUUGGGGACCAAAAAGAGUAAACUGUUAAUGACUGCAGG